rnacentral:miRNA from 1 species
AUGGAUUGAAUAAGAGUGCACA